GGGUUAAGACCACAGAUAAUGAUAAUUAAGCUGUUACAGUAGGUGUUCAUUUUGACCAGAAUUUGAACUGUAAUAACCACAUUGACAAUUUGUGCAAAUGAGUCUCACAUUUUUCGUCGGAUAAGACAUUUUCUACCAUUUCGGGCAAGGAUGGCUUUCUACAAUUGUGUAAUUCUCUCAAUAACAAACUAUUGCUGUGUUGUGUGGGGAAACACCUGUCAGAAGAACUUUGACAAAAUUUUAAAAUUGCAGAAAAGAGCAAGCACGGUUAAUCCUUGAUACUGACGGGAAAGCACAUUCAUUACCGUUGUUUCUACAGCUUGGUUGGUAACCCAUGGGUGAACACAUCAAAUAUUUCCGUUGCCUACUGGGUUUUAAAUUAUUAAAAUUAUUUAAAUUAUGUCCUGGUUAUAUGAAAAACUUAUUAACCCCUUUCAAAAAUGUUCAUUGUCAAAACACACGAGGAUCAACUAACAAUAAUCUAGUACUGCCUAGAGUAAGCACCAAUUCUGGUAAACGCUCUUUUUCUUUUCUCGCUGCUAGUGAUUGGAACUCCUUAGACGUAUAGACAUACGUAAUGCAUCAACACUUUCUCAAUUUAGAAAUGCCUAUUUAAAUAUGGCAUUAUAAAUUAA